AAGCAAACGCAAAAAAGAAGAAACAUAAGCUACUGGCAAAUGGAUUGACCUCAACCUCGGCAAGGCCGAACUGAUCAAGCAAGUACAAAAGGCGAUAAAAGGCCAAAAAUCGAGGAAGUUGAUCAAGGAGAGUAGUUAAGCAGUUAAUGAGGGGACCACUGGGUAUCAGAAGAAGGACAUGCGAGGCUAUCAGCUGGAUGGUGCGCAGCAAUCUGUUAUCAAGGACAACGUUCUAGAAGGGGACACGUGUUGAUACAUGAGACGCAAGGACGGAGCUGAGUCACGGAUUUGUUACUGAAAGCGUCGUCGAUUCUAGAAGAAGAGCAGGUAGCAAUCCAUGAGUCGCUCAUUCUCAACAUGAGUGAAUAUUCCCUGUCAAGAUCGUUACUGGAGACCGAGUCGAGCUUAUAAAUAGAGGAUGUGCCACCACAUGAAGAAAGGAACCCGAUCCUUUACUUUUCGUCUAGUUUAGCUUAGUUUAGUUCUCUAGUUUAGUCCAGUUCUCUAGAAUAGCUUAGCUUAGAUAAAAUAAUGGGUAGUUAGAAAGGGCAAUCAAAGAAGCGCUGCAGAAUACUUGUUAUCUGUUGGCGUAUUCCUAAAUUUCCUGCCGAGAUUCUUCUCGCUUUUACUUGCUUUCUUAUUUUCCGAAGUAUUAGCUUAGUUUUAAAUUUACGUUGUACUUAGUUUAAGUUUAAUCGAAGUUGUUUUAUUUUAA